rnacentral:misc_RNA from 1 species
CGCAGACCGUCCGCUCCCGCACACUGCCCGCACCCGCACCCGCAGACCGCCCGCACCCGCACCCGCACACUGCCCGAGCCCGCAACCGCAGACCGUCCGCACCCGCACCCGCACACUGCCCGCUCCCGCACUCGCAGACCGUCCGCACCCGCACACUGCCCGCACCCGCACCCGCACACCGUCCGCUCCCGCACACUGCCCGCACCCGCACCCGCAGACCGCCCGCACCCGCACCCGCACACUGCCCGAGCCCGCAACCGCAGACCGUCCGCACCCGCACCCGCACACUGCCCGCUCCCGCACUCGCAGACCGUCCGCACCCGCACACUGCCUGAGCCCGCACCCGCACACUGCCCGCUCCCGCACCCGCAGACCGUCCGCACCCGCACACUGCCCGAGCCCGCACCCGCACACUGCCCGCUCCCGCACCCGCAGACCGUCCGCACCCGCACACUGCCCGCACCCGCACCCGCACACCGUCCGCACCCGCACCCGCACACUGCCUGAGCCCGCAACCGCACACUGCCCGAGCCCGCACCCGCACACUGCCCGCAGCCGCACCCGCAGACCGCCCGCAGCCGCACCCGCAGACCGCCCGCACCCGCACCCGCAGACCGCCCGCACCCGCACCCGCAGACCGCCCGCAGCCCCGCACCCGCACACUGCCCGAGCCCGCAACCGCACACUGCCCGAGCCCGCACCCGAAGACCGCCCGCACCCGCACACUGCCCGCACCCGCACCCGCAGACCGCCCGCACCCGCACCCGCACACUGCCCGAGCCCGCAACCGCAGACCGUCCGCACCCGCACCCGCACACUGCCCGCUCCCGCACUCGCAGACCGUCCGCACCCGCACCCGCACACUGCCCGAGCCCGCACCCGCACACUGCCCGCUCCCGCACCCGCAGACCGUCCGCACCCGCACACUGCCCGCUCCCGCACCCGCACACUGCCCGCUCCCGCACCCGCACACUGCCCGAGCCCGCACCCGCACACUGCCCGCAGCCGCACCCGCAGACCGCCCGCAGCCGCACCCGCAGACCGCCCGCACCCGCACCCGCAGACCGCCCGCACCCGCACCCGCAGACCGCCCGCACCCGCACACUGCCCGAGCCCGCAACCGCACACUGCCCGAGCCCGCACCCGCAGACCGUCCGCACCCGCACCCGCACACUGCCCGAGCCCGCACCCGCAGACCGUCCGCACCCGCACCCGCACACUGCCCGAGCCCGCACCCGCAGACCGCCCGCACCCGCACACUGCCCGAGCCCGCACCCGCACACUGCCCGAGCCCGCACCCGCAGACCGUCCGCACCCGCACCCGCAGACCGUCCGCACCCGCACCCGCACACUGCCCGAGCCCGCACCCGCACACUGCCCGAGCCCGCACCCGCAGACCGCCCGCACCCGCACACUGCCCGAGCCCGCACCCGCACACUGCCCGCAGCCGCACCCGCAGACCGUCCGCACCCGCACCCGCACACUGCCCGAGCCCGCACCCGCAGACCGCCCGCACCCGCACACUGCCCGAGCCCGCACCCGCACACUGCCCGAGCCCGCACCCGCAGACCGCCCGCACCCGCACACUGCCCGAGCCCGCACCCGCACACUGCCCAAGCCCGUAUCCUCGCACUUCCUGUCAAACUCGCGUGCGUCGAUAAUUCGCUCAUCGCUGUGCACCACCCCUCGGCGCCUGUUUGUGUGUCCGUUUCGUAGGUUGGUUUUGCUCUCUUAUAGAUCAGAAUAUCUCCAUACAAGCCGUCAGAACAACGAAGCCGCCCCCCAUCACUGCCUCCCUCUACGUACACCGUUGUUGCCUUUUUUUCGUGGCUGCAGAGUAACCUGUGCAUCUGCGCAGACAUACUCGCCCACCGCACACAGACAUCGACAGACACACGAACCGAAAGAAACGCACGUGCCGAGAAGAGCAGACAGGCGCACGUGCCUUCUGUGAGAAUCUCCCACUGCUCAUCUUCGGUUCCCCUCUCUUUUCCACUACAUCGUUCUCUCCACGGGAGUACAUCUGCGCGAUCUCGUCGUUCCACGAGUCGUAGUGAAGUCUCGUCUCGCCUUCGUCUUGCUCCGCAUAUCGUCGCCUUCCUCCUUUGGCGAUAUUACUGUCCCGCUCGUCAAAUAAGCUCGACAUCUGUCCUCCGUGUUUGUGCGAGUGUCUUUCUCUGUCCUCACUCCCUCGGUGCGUCUGGUGGUGGUUGCGCCACUUUUUCAGAUUCCUGUAGCUGUCACCUCGUUUCAACUUGUUUUCAUCUUUUGCAGGUAUAGAUCCUUGUGUGUUUGCACGCCUUCCGUGGUCGCUGUCUUUACUGCGUCGGUUGGUUGCAGACACCUCUUUCCGUCGACUAUAUCUUUCUUUCGCCCUCGUCUUUUACAUCUGUUCCCAUUCGUUCUCUCAUCUCCCUAUAUAUUUGUUUUUCCCACCCGCGGCUCUUCCUCUCCCUCACUCCCUCGGUGCGUGUGGUGGUGGUUCGCCUCUCUUGUCGAUUCCUGUAGUUGUCGCCUCGUUUCAACUUGUUUUCAUCUUUUGCAGGUAUAGAUCCUUGUGUGUUUGCACGCCUUCCGUGGUCGCUGUCUUUACUGCGUCGGUUGGUUGCAGACACCUCUUUCGUCGACUAUAUAUUUCUUUCGCCCUCGUCUUUUCAUCUACUCCCAUUCGUUCUCUCAUCUCCCUAUAUAUUUGUUUUUCCCACCCGCGGCUCUUCCUCUCCCUCACUCCCUCGGUGCGUGUGGUGGUGGUUCGCCUCUCUUGUCGAUUCCUGUAGUUGUCACCUCGUUUCAAAUUGUUUUCAUCUUUUGCAGGUAUAGAUCCUUGUGUGUUUGCACGCCUUCCGUGGUCGCUGUCUUUACUGCGUCGGUUGGUUGCAGACACCUCUUUCCGUCGACUAUAUAUUUCUUUCGCCCUCGUCUUUUACAUCUACUCCCAUUCGUUCUCUCAUCUCCCUAUAUAUUUGUUUUUCCCACCCGCGGCUCUUCCUCUCCCUCACUCCCUCGGUGCGUGUGGUGGUGGUUGCGCCUCUCUUGUCGAUUCCUGUAGUUGUCACCUCGUUUCAAAUUGUUUUCUUUUCGGUAUAGAUCCUUGUGUGUUUGCACGCCUUCCGUGGUCGCUGUCUUUACUGCGUCGGUUGGUUGCAGACACCUCUUUCGUCGACUAUAUCUUUCUUUCGCCCUCGUCUUUUACAUCUACUCCCAUUCGUUCUCUCAUCUCCCUAUAUAUUUGUUUUUCCCACCCGCGGCUCUUCCUCUCCCUCACUCCCUCGGUGCGUGUGGUGGUGGUUCGCCUCUCUUGUCGAUUCCUGUAGUUGUCGCCUCGUUUCAAAUUGUUUUUCGAAAUCAAGCGUGUGUGUUUGCACGCCUUCCGUGGUUGCUGUCUGUCGUUACUGCGUCGGUUGGUUGCAGACACCUCUUUUCGUCGACUAUAUCUUUCUUUCUUUCGCCCUCGUCUUUUACAUCUUCCCAUUCGUUCUCUCAUCUCCCUAUAUAUUUGUUUUUCCCACCCGCGGCUCUUCCUCUCCCUCACUCCCUCGGUGCGUGUGGUGGUGGUUCGCCUCUCUUGUCGAUUCCUGUAGUUGUCACCUCGUUUCAAAUUGUUUUUUUUCGAAAUCGCUGUGUGUUUGCACGCCUUCCGUGGUUCGCUGUCUUACUGCGUCGGUUGGUUGCAGACACCUCUUUCGUCGACUAUAUUUUCUUUCGCCCUCGUCUUUUACAUCUAUCCCAUUCGUUCUCUCAUCUCCCUAUAUAUUUGUUUUUCCCACCCGCGGCUCUUCCUCUCCCUCACUCCCUCGGUGCGUGUGGUGGUGGUUCGCCUCUCUUGUCGAUUCCUGUAGUUGUCGCCUCGUUUCAAAUUGUUUUUUUCGAAAAUCAAGCGUGUGUGUUUGCACGCCUUCCGUGGUUGCUGUCGUUGCUGUCGUUACUGCGUCGGUUGGUUGCAGACACCUCUUUCCGUCGACUAUAUCUUUCUUUCUUUCGCCCUCGUCUUUUACAUCUGUUCCCAUUCGUUCUCUCAUCUCCCUAUAUAUUUGUUUUUCCCACCCGCGGCUCUUCCUCUCCUCACUCCCUCGGUGCGUGUGGUGGUGGUUCGCCUCUCUUGUCGAUUCCUGUAGUUGUCGCCUCGUUUCAAAUUGUUUUUUCGAAAAUCAAGCGUGUGUGUUUGCACGCCUUCCGUGGUUGCUGUCGUUGCUGUCGUUACUGCGUCGGUUGGUUGCAGACACCUCUUUCCGUCGACUAUAUCUUUCUUUCUUUCGCCCUCGUCUUUUACAUCUGUUCCCAUUCGUUCUCUCAUCUCCCUAUAUAUUUGUUUUUCCCACCCGCGGCUCUUCCUCUCCCUCACUCCCUCGGUGCGUGUGGUGGUGGUUCGCCUCUCUUGUCGAUUCCUGUAGUUGUCGCCUCGUUUCAAAUUGUUUUUUCGAAAAUCAAGCGUGUGUGUUUGCACGCCUUCCGUGGUUGCUGUCGUUGCUGUCGUUACUGCGUCGGUUGGUUGCAGACACCUCUUUCCGUCGACUAUAUCUUCUUUCUUUCGCCCUCGUCUUUUACAUCUGUUCCCAUUCGUUCUCUCAUCUCCCUAUAUAUUUGUUUUUCCCACCCGCGGCUCUUCCUCUCCCUCACUCCCUCGGUGCGUGUGGUGGUGGUUCGCCUCUCUUGUCGAUUCCUGUAGUUGUCGCCUCGUUUCAAAUUGUUUUUUUCGAAAAUCAAGCGUGUGUGUUUGCACGCCUUCCGUGGUUGCUGUCGUUACUGCGUCGGUUGGUUGCAGACACCUCUUUCCGUCGACUAUAUCUUUCUUUCUUUCGCCCUCGUCUUUUACAUCUGUUCCCAUUCGUUCUCUCAUCUCCCUAUAUAUUUGUUUUUCCCACCCGCGGCUCUUCCUCUCCCUCACUCCCUCGGUGCGUGUGGUGGUGGUUCGCCUCUCUUGUCGAUUCCUGUAGUUGUCGCCUCGUUUCAAAUUGUUUUUUCGAAAAUCAAGCGUGUGUGUUUGCACGCCUUCCGUGGUUGCUGUCGUUACUGCGUCGGUUGGUUGCAGACACCUCUUUCCGUCGACUAUAUCUUUCUUUCGCCCUCGUCUUUUACAUCUUUCCCAUUCGUUCUCUCAUCUCCCUAUAUAUUUGUUUUUCCCACCCGCGGCUCUUCCUCUCCCUCACUCCCUCGGUGCGUGUGGUGGUGGUUCGCCUCUCUUGUCGAUUCCUGUAGUUGUCGCCUCGUUUCAAAUUGUUUUUUUCGAAAAUCAAGCGUGUGUGUUUGCACGCCUUCCGUGGUUGCUGUCGUUACUGCGUCGGUUGGUUGCAGACACCUCUUUUCGUCGACUAUAUCUUUCUUUCUUUCGCCCUCGUCUUUUACAUCUGUUCCCAUUCGUUCUCCAUCUCCCUAUAUAUUUGUUUUUCCCACCCGCGGCUCUUCCUCUCCCUCACUCCCUCGGUGCGUGUGGUGGUGGUUCGCCUCUCUUGUCGAUUCCUGUAGUUGUCGCCUCGUUUCAAAUUGUUUUUUUCGAAAAUCAAGCGUGUGUGUUUGCACGCCUUCCGUGGUUGCUGUCGUUACUGCGUCGGUUGGUUGCAGACACCUCUUUCGUCGACUAUAUCUUUCUUUCUUUCGCCCUCGUCUUUUACAUCUUUCCCAUUCGUUCUCCAUCUCCCUAUAUAUUUGUUUUUCCCACCCGCGGCUCUUCCUCUCCCUCACUCCCUCGGUGCGUGUGGUGGUGGUUCGCCUCUUUGUCGAUUCCUGUAGUUGUCGCCUCGUUUCAAAUUGUUUUUUCGAAAAUCAAGCGUGUGUGUUUGCACGCCUUCCGUGGUUGCUGUCGUUGCUGUCGUUACUGCGUCGGUUGGUUGCAGACACCUCUUUUCGUCGACUAUAUCUUUCUUUCUUUCGCCCUCGUCUUUUACAUCUGUUCCCAUUCGUUCUCUCAUCUCCCUAUAUAUUUGUUUUUCCCACCCGCGGCUCUUCCUCUCCCUCACUCCCUCGGUGCGUGUGGUGGUGGUUCGCCUCUCUUGUCGAUUCCUGUAGUUGUCGCCUCGUUUCAAAUUGUUUUUUCGAAAAUCAAGCGUGUGUGUUUGCACGCCUUCCGUGGUUGCUGUCGUUGCUGUCGUUACUGCGUCGGUUGGUUGCAGACACCUCUUUUCGUCGACUAUAUCUUUCUUUCUUUCGCCCUCGUCUUUUACAUCUGUUCCCAUUCGUUCUCCCCUCCCCUAUAUAUUUGUUUUUCCCACCCGCGGCUCUUCCUCUCCCUCACUCCCUCGGUGCGUGUGGUGGUGGUUCGCCUCUCUUGUCGAUUCCUGUAGUUGUCGCCUCGUUUCAAAUUGUUUUUUUCGAAAAUCAAGCGUGUGUGUUUGCACGCCUUCCGUGGUUGCUGUCGUUGCUGUCGUUACUGCGUCGGUUGGUUGCAGACACCUCUUUCGUCGACUAUAUCUUUCUUUCUUUCGCCCUCGUCUUUUACAUCUGUUCCCAUUCGUUCUCUCAUCUCCCUAUAUAUUUGUUUUUCCCACCCGCGGCUCUUCCUCUCCCUCACUCCCUCGGUGCGUGUGGUGGUGGUUGCCUCUCUUGUCGAUUCCUGUAGUUGUCGCCUCGUUUCAAAUUGUUUUUUCGAAAAUCAAGCGUGUGUGUUUGCACGCCUUCCGUGGUUGCUGUCGUUGCUGUCGUUACUGCGUCGGUUGGUUGCAGACACCUCUUUCCGUCGACUAUAUCUUUCUUUCUUUCGCCCUCGUCUUUUACAUCUGUUCCCAUUCGUUCUCUCAUCUCCCUAUAUAUUUGUUUUUCCCACCCGCGGCUCUUCCUCUCCCUCACUCCCUCGGUGCGUGUGGUGGUGGUUCGCCUCUCUUGUCGAUUCCUGUAGUUGUCGCCUCGUUUCAAAUUGUUUUUUCGAAAAUCAAGCGUGUGUGUUUGCACGCCUUCCGUGGUUGCUGUCGUUGCUGUCGUUACUGCGUCGGUUGGUUGCAGACACCUCUUUCCGUCGACUAUAUCUUUCUUUCUUUCGCCCUCGUCUUUUACAUCUUUCCCAUUCGUUCUCUCAUCUCCCUAUAUAUUUGUUUUUCCCACCCGCGGCUCUUCCUCUCCCUCACUCCCUCGGUGCGUGUGGUGGUGGUUCGCCUCUCUUGUCGAUUCCUGUAGUUGUCGCCUCGUUUCAAAUUGUUUUUUCGAAAUCAAGCGUGUGUGUUUGCACGCCUUCCGUGGUUGCUGUCGUUGCUGUCGUUACUGCGUCGGUUGGUUGCAGACACCUCUUUCCGUCGACUAUAUCUUUCUUUCUUUCGCCCUCGUCUUUUACAUCUGUUCCCAUUCGUUCUCUCAUCUCCCUAUAUAUUUGUUUUUCCCACCCGCGGCUCUUCCUCUCCCUCACUCCCUCGGUGCGUGUGGUGGUGGUUCGCCUCUCUUGUCGAUUCCUGUAGUUGUCGCCUCGUUUCAAAUUGUUUUUUCGAAAAUCAAGCGUGUGUGUUUGCACGCCUUCCGUGGUUGCUGUCGUUGCUGUCGUUACUGCGUCGGUUGGUUGCAGACACCUCUUUCCGUCGACUAUAUCUUUCUUUCUUUCGCCCUCGUCUUUUACAUCUGUUCCCAUUCGUUCUCUCAUCUCCCUAUAUAUUUGUUUUUCCCACCCGCGGCUCUUCCUCUCCCUCACUCCCUCGGUGCGUGUGGUGGUGGUUCGCCUCUCUUGUCGAUUCCUGUAGUUGUCGCCUCGUUUCAAAUUGUUUUUUCGAAAAUCAAGCGUGUGUGUUUGCACGCCUUCCGUGGUUGCUGUCGUUACUGCGUCGGUUGGUUGCAGACACCUCUUUCCGUCGACUAUAUCUUUCUUUCUUUCGCCCUCGUCUUUUACAUCUGUUCCCAUUCGUUCUCUCAUCUCCCUAUAUAUUUGUUUUUCCCACCCGCGGCUCUUCCUCUCCCUCACUCCCUCGGUGCGUGUGGUGGUGGUUGCGCCUCUCUUGUCGAUUCCUGUAGUUGUCGCCUCGUUUCAAAUUGUUUUUUUCGAAAAUCAAGCGUGUGUGUUUGCACGCCUUCCGUGGUUGCUGUCGUUACUGCGUCGGUUGGUUGCAGACACCUCUUUCCGUCGACUAUAUCUUUCUUUCGCCCUCGUCUUUUACAUCUGUUCCCAUUCGUUCUCUCAUCUCCCUAUAUAUUUGUUUUUCCCACCCGCGGCUCUUCCUCUCCCUCACUCCCUCGGUGCGUGUGGUGGUGGUUCGCCUCUCUUGUCGAUUCCUGUAGUUGUCGCCUCGUUUCAAAUUGUUUUUUCGAAAAUCAAGCGUGUGUGUUUGCACGCCUUCCGUGGUUGCUGUCGUUGCUGUCGUUACUGCGUCGGUUGGUUGCAGACACCUCUUUCCGUCGACUAUAUCUUUCUUUCUUUCGCCCUCGUCUUUUACAUCUGUUCCCAUUCGUUCUCUCAUCUCCCUAUAUAUUUGUUUUUCCCACCCGCGGCUCUUCCUCUCCCUCACUCCCUCGGUGCGUGUGGUGGUGGUUCGCCUCUCUUGUCGAUUCCUGUAGUUGUCGCCUCGUUUCAAAUUGUUUUUUCGAAAAUCAAGCGUGUGUGUUUGCACGCCUUCCGUGGUUGCGUUGCUGUCGUUACUGCGUCGGUUGGUUGCAGACACCUCUUUUCGUCGACUAUAUCUUUCUUUCUUUCGCCCUCGUCUUUUACAUCUGUUCCCAUUCGUUCUCUCAUCUCCCUAUAUAUUUGUUUUUCCCACCCGCGGCUCUUCCUCUCCCUCACUCCCUCGGUGCGUGUGGUGGUGGUUCGCCUCUCUUGUCGAUUCCUGUAGUUGUCGCCUCGUUUCAAAUUGUUUUUUCGAAAAUCAAGCGUGUGUGUUUGCACGCCUUCCGUGGUUGCUGUCGUUACUGCGUCGGUUGGUUGCAGACACCUCUUUCCGUCGACUAUAUCUUUCUUUCGCCCUCGUCUUUUACAUCUUUCCCAUUCGUUCUCUCAUCUCCCUAUAUAUUUGUUUUUCCCACCCGCGGCUCUUCCUCUCCCUCACUCCCUCGGUGCGUGUGGUGGUGGUUCGCCUCUCUUGUCGAUUCCUGUAGUUGUCGCCUCGUUUCAAAUUGUUUUUUCGAAAAUCAAGCGUGUGUGUUUGCACGCCUUCCGUGGUUGCUGUCGUUGCUGUCGUUACUGCGUCGGUUGGUUGCAGACACCUCUUUUCGUCGACUAUAUCUUUCUUUCGCCCUCGUCUUUUACAUCUGUUCCCAUUCGUUCUCUCAUCUCCCUAUAUAUUUGUUUUUCCCACCCGCGGCUCUUCCUCUCCCUCACUCCCUCGGUGCGUGUGGUGGUGGUUCGCCUCUCUUGUCGAUUCCUGUAGUUGUCGCCUCGUUUCAAAUUGUUUUUUUCGAAAAUCAAGCGUGUGUGUUUGCACGCCUUCCGUGGUUGCUGUCGUUGCUGUCGUUACUGCGUCGGUUGGUUGCAGACACCUCUUUCCGUCGACUAUAUCUUUCUUUCGCCCUCGUCUUUUACAUCUGUUCCCAUUCGUUCUCUCAUCUCCCUAUAUAUUUGUUUUUCCCACCCGCGGCUCUUCCUCUCCCUCACUCCCUCGGUGCGUGUGGUGGUGGUUGCCUCUCUUGUCGAUUCCUGUAGUUGUCGCCUCGUUUCAAAUUGUUUUUUCGAAAAUCAAGCGUGUGUGUUUGCACGCCUUCCGUGGUUGCUGUCGUUGCUGUCGUUACUGCGUCGGUUGGUUGCAGACACCUCUUUCCGUCGACUAUAUCUUUCUUUCUUUCGCCCUCGUCUUUUACAUCUGUUCCCAUUCGUUCUCUCAUCUCCCUAUAUAUUUGUUUUUCCCACCCGCGGCUCUUCCUCUCCCUCACUCCCUCGGUGCGUGUGGUGGUGGUUCGCCUCUCUUGUCGAUUCCUGUAGUUGUCACCUCGUUUCAAAUUGUUUUUCGAAAAUCAAGCGUGUGUGUUUGCACGCCUUCCGUGGUUGCUGUCGUUGCUGUCGUUACUGCGUCGGUUGGUUGCAGACACCUCUUUCGUCGACUAUAUCUUUCUUUCUUUCGCCCUCGUCUUUUACAUCUGUUCCCAUUCGUUCUCUCAUCUCCCUAUAUAUUUGUUUUUCCCACCCGCGGCUCUUCCUCUCCCUCACUCCCUCGGUGCGUGUGGUGGUGGUUCGCCUCUCUUGUCGAUUCCUGUAGUUGUCACCUCGUUUCAAAUUGUUUUUUCGAAAAUCAAGCGUGUGUGUUUGCACGCCUUCCGUGGUUGCUGUCGUCGUUACUGCGUCGGUUGGUUGCAGACACCUCUUUCCGUCGACUAUAUCUUUCUUUCUUUCGCCCUCGUCUUUUACAUCUGUUCCCAUUCGUUCUCUCAUCUCCCUAUAUAUUUGUUUUUCCCACCCGCGGCUCUUCCUCUCCCUCACUCCCUCGGUGCGUGUGGUGGUGGUUCGCCUCUCUUGUCGAUUCCUGUAGUUGUCGCCUCGUUUCAAAUUGUUUUUCGAAAAUCAAGCGUGUGUGUUUGCACGCCUUCCGUGGUUGCUGUCGUUACUGCGUCGGUUGGUUGCAGACACCUCUUUCCGUCGACUAUAUCUUUCUUUCUUUCGCCCUCGUCUUUUACAUCUGUUCCCAUUCGUUCUCUCAUCUCCCUAUAUAUUUGUUUUUCCCACCCGCGGCUCUUCCUCUCCCUCACUCCCUCGGUGCGUGUGGUGGUGGUUCGCCUCUCUUGUCGAUUCCUGUAGUUGUCGCCUCGUUUCAAAUUGUUUUUUCGAAAAUCAAGCGUGUGUGUUUGCACGCCUUCCGUGGUUGCUGUCGUUGCUGUCGUUACUGCGUCGGUUGGUUGCAGACACCUCUUUCCGUCGACUAUAUCUUUCUUUCGCCCUCGUCUUUUACAUCUGUUCCCAUUCGUUCUCUCAUCUCCCUAUAUAUUUGUUUUUCCCACCCGCGGCUCUUCCUCUCCCUCACUCCCUCGGUGCGUGUGGUGGUGGUUGCCUCUCUUGUCGAUUCCUGUAGUUGUCGCCUCGUUUCAAAUUGUUUUUCGAAAAUCAAGCGUGUGUGUUUGCACGCCUUCCGUGGUUGCUGUCGUUGCUGUCGUUACUGCGUCGGUUGGUUGCAGACACCUCUUUCCGUCGACUAUAUCUUUCUUUCUUUCGCCCUCGUCUUUUACAUCUGUUCCCAUUCGUUCUCUCAUCUCCCUAUAUAUUUGUUUUUCCCACCCGCGGCUCUUCCUCUCCCUCACUCCCUCGGUGCGUGUGGUGGUGGUUCGCCUCUCUUGUCGAUUCCUGUAGUUGUCGCCUCGUUUCAAAUUGUUUUUCGAAAAUCAAGCGUGUGUGUUUGCACGCCUUCCGUGGUUGCUGUCGUUACUGCGUCGGUUGGUUGCAGACACCUCUUUCCGUCGACUAUAUCUUUCUUUCUUUCGCCCUCGUCUUUUACAUCUGUUCCCAUUCGUUCUCUCAUCUCCCUAUAUAUUUGUUUUUCCCACCCGCGGCUCUUCCUCUCCCUCACUCCCUCGGUGCGUGUGGUGGUGGUUCGCCUCUCUUGUCGAUUCCUGUAGUUGUCGCCUCGUUUCAAAUUGUUUUUCGAAAAUCAAGCGUGUGUGUUUGCACGCCUUCCGUGGUUGCUGUCGUUACUGCGUCGGUUGGUUGCAGACACCUCUUUCCGUCGACUAUAUCUUUCUUUCGCCCUCGUCUUUUACAUCUGUUCCCAUUCGUUCUCUCAUCUCCCUAUAUAUUUGUUUUUCCCACCCGCGGCUCUUCCUCUCCCUCACUCCCUCGGUGCGUGUGGUGGUGGUUCGCCUCUCUUGUCGAUUCCUGUAGUUGUCGCCUCGUUUCAAAUUGUUUUUCGAAAAUCAAGCGUGUGUGUUUGCACGCCUUCCGUGGUUGCUGUCGUUACUGCGUCGGUUGGUUGCAGACACCUCUUUCGUCGACUAUAUCUUUCUUUCGCCCUCGUCUUUUACAUCUGUUCCCAUUCGUUCUCUCAUCUCCCUAUAUAUUUGUUUUUCCCACCCGCGGCUCUUCCUCUCCCUCACUCCCUCGGUGCGUGUGGUGGUGGUUCGCCUCUCUUGUCGAUUCCUGUAGUUGUCGCCUCGUUUCAAAUUGUUUUUUCGAAAAUCAAGCGUGUGUGUUUGCACGCCUUCCGUGGUUGCUGUCGUUACUGCGUCGGUUGGUUGCAGACACCUCUUUCCGUCGACUAUAUCUUUCUUUCUUUCGCCCUCGUCUUUUACAUCUGUUCCCAUUCGUUCUCUCAUCUCCCUAUAUAUUUGUUUUUCCCACCCGCGGCUCUUCCUCUCCCUCACUCCCUCGGUGCGUGUGGUGGUGGUUCGCCUCUCUUGUCGAUUCCUGUAGUUGUCGCCUCGUUUCAAAUUGUUUUUUCGAAAAUCAAGCGUGUGUGUUUGCACGCCUUCCGUGGUUGCUGUCGUUGCUGUCGUUACUGCGUCGGUUGGUUGCAGACACCUCUUUCCGUCGACUAUAUCUUUCUUUCGCCCUCGUCUUUUACAUCUGUUCCCAUUCGUUCUCUCAUCUCCCUAUAUAUUUGUUUUUCCCACCCGCGGCUCUUCCUCUCCCUCACUCCCUCGGUGCGUGUGGUGGUUUGCCUCUCUUGUCGAUUCCUGUAGUUGUCACCUCGUUUCAAAUUGUUUUUCGAAAAUCAAGCGUGUGUGUUUGCACGCCUUCCGUGGUUGCUGUCGUUACUGCGUCGGUUGGUUGCAGACACCUCUUUCCGUCGACUAUAUCUUUCUUUCUUUCGCCCUCGUCUUUUACAUCUGUUCCCAUUCGUUCUCUCAUCUCCCUAUAUAUUUGUUUUUCCCACCCGCGGCUCUUCCUCUCCCUCACUCCCUCGGUGCGUGUGGUGGUGGUUCGCCUCUCUUGUCGAUUCCUGUAGUUGUCGCCUCGUUUCAAAUUGUUUUUUCGAAAAUCAAGCGUGUGUGUUUGCACGCCUUCCGUGGUUGCUGUCGUUACUGCGUCGGUUGGUUGCAGACACCUCUUUCCGUCGACUAUAUCUUUCUUUCGCCCUCGUCUUUUACAUCUACUCCCAUUCGUUCUCUCAUCUCCCUAUAUAUUUGUUUUUCCCACCCGCGGCUCUUCCUCUCCCUCACUCCCUCGGUGCGUGUGGUGGUGGUUGCCUCUCUUGUCGAUUCCUGUAGUUGUCGCCUCGUUUCAAAUUGUUUUUUCGAAAAUCAAGCGUGUGUGUUUGCACGCCUUCCGUGGUUGCUGUCGUUACUGCGUCGGUUGGUUGCAGACACCUCUUUCCGUCGACUAUAUCUUUCUUUCGCCCUCGUCUUUUACAUCUGUUCCCAUUCGUUCUCUCAUCUCCCUAUAUAUUUGUUUUUCCCACCCGCGGCUCUUCCUCUCCCUCACUCCCUCGGUGCGUGUGGUGGUGGUUUGCCUCUCUUGUCGAUUCCUGUAGUUGUCGCCUCGUUUCAAAUUGUUUUUUCGAAAAUCAAGCGUGUGUGUUUGCACGCCUUCCGUGGUUGCUGUCGUUACUGCGUCGGUUGGUUGCAGACACCUCUUUCGUCGACUAUAUCUUUCUUUCUUUCGCCCUCGUCUUUUACAUCUGUUCCCAUUCGUUCUCUCAUCUCCCUAUAUAUUUGUUUUUCCCACCCGCGGCUCUUCCUCUCCCUCACUCCCUCGGUGCGUGUGGUGGUGGUUCGCCUCUCUUGUCGAUUCCUGUAGUUGUCGCCUCGUUUCAAAUUGUUUUUUCGAAAAUCAAGCGUGUGUGUUUGCACGCCUUCCGUGGUUGCUGUCGUUACUGCGUCGGUUGGUUGCAGACACCUCUUUCCGUCGACUAUAUCUUUCUUUCUUUCGCCCUCGUCUUUUACAUCUGUUCCCAUUCGUUCUCUCAUCUCCCUAUAUAUUUGUUUUUCCCACCCGCGGCUCUUCCUCUCCCUCACUCCCUCGGUGCGUGUGGUGGUGGUUCGCCUCUCUUGUCGAUUCCUGUAGUUGUCACCUCGUUUCAAAUUGUUUUUCGAAAAUCAAGCGUGUGUGUUUGCACGCCUUCCGUGGUUGCUGUCGUUACUGCGUCGGUUGGUUGCAGACACCUCUUUCGUCGACUAUAUCUUUCUUCUUUCGCCCUCGUCUUUUACAUCUGUUCCCAUUCGUUCUCUCAUCUCCCUAUAUAUUUGUUUUUCCCACCCGCGGCUCUUCCUCUCCCUCACUCCCUCGGUGCGUGUGGUGGUGGUUCGCCUCUCUUGUCGAUUCCUGUAGUUGUCACCUCGUUUCAAAUUGUUUUUCGAAAAUCAAGCGUGUGUGUUUGCACGCCUUCCGUGGUUGCUGUCGUUACUGCGUCGGUUGGUUGCAGACACCUCUUUCCGUCGACUAUAUCUUUCUUUCUUUCGCCCUCGUCUUUUACUCUGUUCCCAUUCGUUCUCUCAUCUCCCUAUAUAUUUGUUUUUCCCACCCGCGGCUCUUCCUCUCCCUCACUCCCUCGGUGCGUGUGGUGGUGGUUCGCCUCUCUUGUCGAUUCCUGUAGUUGUCACCUCGUUUCAAAUUGUUUUUCGAAAAUCAAGCGUGUGUGUUUGCACGCCUUCCGUGGUUGCUGUCGUUACUGCGUCGGUUGGUUGCAGACACCUCUUUCGUCGACUAUAUCUUUCUUUCGCCCUCGUCUUUUACAUCUGUUCCCAUUCGUUCUCUCUCUCCCUAUAUAUUUGUUUUUCCCACCCGCGGCUCUUCCUCUCCCUCACUCCCUCGGUGCGUGUGGUGGUGGUUCGCCUCUCUUGUCGAUUCCUGUAGUUGUCACCUCGUUUCAAAUUGUUUUUCGAAAAUCAAGCGUGUGUGUUUGCACGCCUUCCGUGGUUGCUGUCGUUACUGCGUCGGUUGGUUGCAGACACCUCUUUCCGUCGACUAUAUCUUUCUUUCUUUCGCCCUCGUCUUUUACCUCUGUUCCCAUUCGUUCUCUCAUCUCCCUAUAUAUUUGUUUUCCCACCCGCGGCUCUUCCUCUCCCUCACUCCCUCGGUGCGUGUGGUGGUGGUUUGCCUCUCUUGUCGAUUCCUGUAGUUGUCACCUCGUUUCAAAUUGUUUUUCGAAAAUCAAGCGUGUGUGUUUGCACGCCUUCCGUGGUUGCUGUCGUUACUGCGUCGGUUGGUUGCAGACACCUCUUUCCGUCGACUAUAUCUUUCUUUCGCCCUCGUCUUUUACUCUGUUCCCAUUCGUUCUCUCAUCUCCCUAUAUAUUUGUUUUUCCCACCCGCGGCUCUUCCUCUCCCUCACUCCCUCGGUGCGUGUGGUGGUGGUUCGCCUCUCUUGUCGAUUCCUGUAGUUGUCGCCUCGUUUCAAAUUGUUUUUCGAAAAUCAAGCGUGUGUGUUUGCACGCCUUCCGUGGUUGCUGUCGUUACUGCGUCGGUUGGUUGCAGACACCUCUUUCGUCGACUAUAUCUUUCUUUCUUUCGCCCUCGUCUUUUACAUCUGUUCCCAUUCGUUCUCUCAUCUCCCUAUAUAUUUGUUUUUCCCACCCGCGGCUCUUCCUCUCCCUCACUCCCUCGGUGCGUGUGGUGGUGGUUCGCCUCUCUUGUCGAUUCCUGUAGUUGUCACCUCGUUUCAAAUUGUUUUUCGAAAAUCAAGCGUGUGUGUUUGCACGCCUUCCGUGGUUGCUGUCGUUGCUGUCGUUACUGCGUCGGUUGGUUGCAGACACCUCUUUUCGUCGACUAUAUCUUUCUU